GAUGAACGCUGGCGGCGUGCCUAACACAUGCAAGUCGAGCGAUUUACUUCGGUAAAGAGCGGCGGACGGGUGAGUAACGCGUGGGUAACCUGCCUCAUACACAUGGAUAACAUACCGAAAGGUAUGCUAAUACAGGAUAAUAUAAGGGAUUCGCAUGGAUUUCUUAUCAAAGCUCCGGCGGUAUGAGAUGGACCCGCGUCUGAUUAGCUAGUUGGUAAGGUAAUGGCUUACCAAGGCGACGAUCAGUAGCCGACCUGAGAGGGUGAUCGGCCACAUUGGAACUGAGACACGGUCCAAACUCCUACGGGAGGCAGCAGUGGGGAAUAUUGCACAAUGGGCGAAAGCCUGAUGCAGCAACGCCGCGUGAGUGAUGAAGGYCUUCGGGUCGUAAAACUCUGUCCUCAAGGAAGAUAAUGACGGUACUUGAGGAGGAAGCCCCGGCUAACUACGUGCCAGCAGCCGCGGUAAUACGUAGGGGGCUAGCGUUAUCCGGAUUUACUGGGCGUAAAGGGUGCGUAGGUGGUUUCUUAAGUCAGGAGUGAAAGGCUACGGCUCAACCGUAGUAAGCUCUUGAAACUGGGAAACUUGAGUGCAGGAGAGGAAAGUGGAAUUCCUAGUGUAGCGGUGAAAUGCGUAGAUAUUAGGAGGAACACCAGUAGCGAAGGCGGCUUUCUGGACUGUAACUGACACUGAGGCACGAAAGCGUGGGGAGCAAACAGGAUUAGAUACCCUGGUAGUCCCGCCGUAACGAUGAGUACUAGGUGUCGGGGGUACCCCCUCGGCGC
rnacentral:rRNA from 1 species